CGCUCCCGCCCGCUGCUCCGGCAGCUCCGGCUCCAGCUGCUCCCGAGGCCGCGGCUGCCCGCUCUGCAUGUCACCCCUCCCUUCUCCCCGCCGGAACUACGCACCCGCCCCGGCGACGCGACGUCCGGGGCGGCCCGAGAGACAGGGGCCUGAAUGCGGGGCGGUGGGAGCGGUCUGUAACGGGAGCGAGCGCUCUGUGGAGGGGCUGUAGGUUCCCCCCCCCUCAGACGCCCCUUGAGGUGGGGUCCGGCCCGGACCUGCUCGGUGGGAAACGGGGCGGCGCGGCCGCCGCCUCCUCCCCUCCGCACUCGCCCGGGGCCGCACUGACAGCAAAUGUGGCAUAUCAGAGUUUGGAAUCACCAUCGCCUGUGUAUCUGAGGGUGACAGAAUAGCUGCUGGCAACCAAGGGGCUAUUCUACAUAGCAGAGUGUACUACUCUUCUUGAGAAGAGAUGCCUUCAAUGUUUCCUGUUCCACAGUCCUCUUGAGGAUAAAGAUGUACUUU
rnacentral:lncRNA from 14 species